rnacentral:sRNA from 3 species
UCGACUAAGGUUCGAUUCGAGCGCAGCGAGAAAGCGUUGCCGCAGGCAACGACCCGAAGGGCGAAGCGCGCAGCGCUGAGUCAUCCUUCCCCCACCACCA